rnacentral:rRNA from 2 species
GAUUCCUGUAGUAGCGGCGAGCGAAACGGGACCAGCCCAAACCAAGAGGCUUGCCUCUUGGGGUUGUAGGACACUCUGUACGGAGUUACAAAGGAACGAGGUAGAUGAAGAGGUCUGGAAAGGCCCGCCAUAGGAGGUAACAGCCCUGUAGUCAAAACUUCGUUCUCUCCUGAGUGGAUCCUGAGUACGGCGGAACACGUGAAAUUCCGUCGGAAUCCGGGAGGACCAUCUCCCAAGGCUAAAUACUCCCUAGUGACCGAUAGUGAACCAGUACCGUGAGGGAAAGGUGAAAAGCACCCCGGAAGGGGAGUGAAAGAGAUCCUGAAACCGUGUGCCUACAAGUAGUCAGAGCCCGUUAACGGGUGAUGGCGUGCCUUUUGUAGAAUGAACCUUUGAGUUACGAUCCCGUGCAAGGUUAACCCACAUAUGCGGAGCCGCCAUCGAAAGCGAGUUGA